UUUUUUUUUUUUUUUUUUUUUUUUUUGUCUUUUCUAGGGCCACUCCCACAGCAUAUGGAGGUUCCCAGGCUAGGGGUCUAAUCGGAGCUGUAGCCGCCGGCCUACGCCAGAGCCACAGCAAUGCUGGAUCCAAGCUGCGUCUGUGAUCUACACCACAGAUCACUGCAACGCUGGAUCCUUAACCCCCUGAGCAACGCCAGGGACCAAACCCGCAACCUCAUGGUUCCUAGUCGGAUUCGUUAACCACUGUGCCAUGAUGGGAACUCCCCAUGCCAGUGUUCUUAAUAUGACUACUUCCUUGUCAUCUUUCUAACUGAAGUUCAGAGAUCCUCUCCCCUGGGAAUCUUUGACCACCGUACCCACAUCAAAAUCUCACCUGUAUCUGUCUUUCUCUCUUGCCCUGUGCCUACUUCUUAGAAUUAGUCUCUGUGUGAUUGUUAGCAAAUGUAGGCGCUCUUGUGUUAUUGCCCUAGUCUGAUGCUCUUUGGUAAUGACUCUUUGACAACAAUAGACCUUGUCCACACUGCCUGGACCAUAAUGCCUGCAGUAUGUUUAUGUGUUUCACCUGUACGGUCAUCCACUCCUAUCUGCAGAAAUGGAUAAAAUAACGCAUAUAAAGUGCUAAAGGCAAUGCCUGGCAUAUUGCGUAUCCCUGUUAAGAGAAUAGUUGUUGUUUGUCCUAUUGAUCUGGAGUUCUGGGUUUGGGUCCCACCACGACCACCAGCUGUGUGAGCCUGAACCAGUCAUGUCACCACUCGGUGCCUCAUGUUGGCCAUCUGUGAAGUAAGGAUAAAAAUAGCUUCCUGACCCACUUUAACAGAACAGUUCUGAGGAACAACCUAGAUAAUUAAUGUAAAAGUAUUUUUUAACUCUAAAAAAAUGGAUGACAUUCAAUCAUGAGUGGUAUCUCUAAUAUUGCAAGCAAUAUUCAUGCAAACACUAGUUCUUCAAAUAUUGUCAUUCAUCUCUUUUGCCAGUAUCACUUUCAAUGAUUUUUACCUUCCCUAAUGAGAAGACAGCACAUAAGUCAUCCAUACCUUCACGAGCAAGUUCUCAGCUUUAUUAUCCAAGGCAUCGAAAUAAUUCUGGCUUGAGUUCUAAACACACUAUCACCUCACUGGCAGUGGUGCUCUCAACUGAUGCUGUCUAUGAGUGUUUGAGUCUAUCUUUCUAUCAAAUUUUGCCCCUUUUUUGGUACUCCACAUGAUAGCCAUACUGGUUUUUGAAUGAACUAUUGAAUUUAUGAGUGAUACCAAAGGAUAGAAGCAAAAUCUUGACUGCCCAAUUGUUUAUCUACUUCCUAUUUGGCCUCAAACUUCUCCCUUGUUGUUGAUGAUGAGUGGACUUUCUCAGCUUUUGUGUGCCAGGCACUUAUCUAAGCCGUUCACAUUCAAUCCUCACAAUAACUUGGUCCAAAGAAUACCUGAGCUUGAUUCACUCUAAUGUAAGCAUCAUGGGGGCACAGAAUCUUUUUUAUGUUUUAUGAAUAACUGCGUAACCCUUGGGGACCUGAUCAGUGCCUGGCAUAUAGUAGGCACUCAAGAAAUAGUAGUUGAAUGAAGUGAUUUGCUCUUUAAACAAUUUCUUUAAUGCUUAGGACUUUGGAGUUUUCUGGAUAUUUGUAAUUUGAUUGUGAUUUCUUAUUAUUAGUGGUAGUGACUUAUUAUUCUAUUAUUGAAAUAAUUAACUCACUUACAUGAAACUCUAUGGUUUAUGAAAUGCUUUCACAUUAAUUUAAAGCAACCAAUGACAUGUUAUUACUAGAAAUGCUAAAAUACAACAACUCUUCCUAAUGGAAAAUAAAAUACUGCUAUUUUUAGAAAACUGCUAUAGUUUAGUUCUUCAGUGAACAGUGAGCACUUCAACUAACUUAAAUUAUGAAUAAUUAGGGCUUAAAAUAAUAGGUUAUCAUACAUCGGAAUUUUUUUAUUAAAGGAAGAAAAUACUAGAAAAUACUUUCCCGGUCAGCUUAGAAACAGGGACUUCUCACACGGAAAUUUACUCAAAAAAAUAUAUACAUUGAAAAACGUAUAAAGGUAGCUGCAAGACUGAUUCUUAUAAUGUUUGUGGCUCUAAGAAAAGAAUCACAAAAUAUUUUAAAUGAAUGAAUGAGAUUUCCUAGUCUGUAAUUAAAAUUAGAGCUGAUAAGAUCUAAAAGAAGCUUCACUUGUUAAGAACCAUGAGGAUUUGCAAUAAACAAUGACAGGAGACAGUAAGGCCACAGUUGACUCAGGUCCUUCUAACCAAUGAGAACAGAGUUCGCAUAAGAUUCAGCACUGCGGCGCUAGAAUAGAUGACAUUUUACAGAAUUCUUACAGUGUGUCUUUAAAUGACAUCUUUAAGUAUUAUGAGUUUUAAAAAUCUACCAAAAUAUUUUAAAUAUAUUUUUAACUUUAAUAUAUUAAAAUAUAUUAAAGGCCAAACAAAAUUUAAUAACCAGAACACCAUUAUCUUUUGUAUUGAAACAUUGACAUCUGUCCUUGUCACUGGAUUUUAGUGGAUGAAGGGAAACAUUUCUCUAAGCUCCCAGACAAACAUGACUGGUCCAUUUGUCAUUCCAAUGUCUUCAGCACUUGAAGUAUUUCAAUUUUUGUUCAACAAUGUAACCUUUGGAGUCUUGCCUAAUAAUGACUUCACUUGGGCUGGGCUUCCAACAGAUAAAUGAAAAUGGAAAUGCAUAUUUUCUAAUUAUGCGUCCAGCCCUAGUUGCCCACUGGCAAGAGUGGCCACACGGAAUGUUAAAUUAAGUCUGCACAAAAGCUAGCAUCUAUGUAGCAUCGAAGUUUCCCAAAGUCACUUUCUUAAUCGUGUGAAGGAUAGCCAAGACUCUGAUCAGUAGUAUGUAGCUAUAUACAAUCAGAGGGAAAACAUUUAAACAUCCCAGCAUGGUAUUUCCAUUUAAAUCUGAUUACAGUGAAAUAAAACCGUAGCCAUUAAAGGUUUAGAAGAACUACAAAUACAAGCCGUAAAAGAAGACAGAUAGUAAAUGAGGUAGUAAAACAUUUCAGCGGGGCAAACAGUUUACAGCACUCAUUCAACUCUUCCUGAAGCAGGCUGUGCAAUUCACUACAGACCCUGAACCAUUCCCUGAGCUCCACUUAAACCUGCAAUUAACCUUUCACGCCUAAUGAAGCUGUUUUCUUGGGAAAUUAAAAUAUAUAGUGAUGCCUGCUCUUACACAGACUUGGGAGGAGAGCCUUCCAAAAUGAAUGACUUUUCCGAGGCUUCGUUCAAAUGUAAAAUGGAAGUGCUGUGUUUGUAUAUAAAGUGAGAAUGUUCUUUCCAAGGCAAUUUCAUUUGAUGUGCAGUAUUUUAUUACUGUACUUAUUAAUUGUUCUG
rnacentral:lncRNA from 1 species